rnacentral:rRNA from 1 species
AUUGAACGCUGGCGGCAUGCCUUACACAUGCAAGUCGAACGGCAGCACGGGUGCUUGCACCUGGUGGCGAGUGGCGAACGGGUGAGUAAUACAUCGGAACAUGUCCUGUAGUGGGGGAUAGCCCGGCGAAAGCCGGAUUAAUACCGCAUACGAUCUACGGAUGAAAGCGGGGGACCUUCGGGCCUCGCGCUUUAGGGUUGGCCGAUGGCUGAUUAGCUAGUUGGUGGGGUAAAGGCCUACCAAGGCGACGAUCAGUAGCUGGUCUGAGAGGGCGACCAGCCACACUGGGACUGAGACACGGCCCAGACUCCUACGGGAGGCAGCAGUGGGGAAUUUUGGACAAUGGGCGAAAGCCUGAUCCAGCAAUGCCGCGUGUGUGAAGAAGGCCUUCGGGUUGUAAAGCACUUUUGUCCGGAAAGAAAUCCUUGGCCCUAAUACGGUCGGGGGAUGACGGUACCGGAAGAAUAAGCACCGGCUAACUACGUG